AGGGAUGUAGCUCAAAAUGGUAGAGCCCUCAGCUUGUAAUUUUCUUUACAAGAUGAGAAGAUCAAGGUUCGAAUCCUUGCGUCCCGC
rnacentral:tRNA from 1 species